rnacentral:rRNA from 1 species
UACGGAGGGUGCGAGCGUUAAUCGGAAUUACUGGGCGUAAAGGGUGCGUAGGUGGUUUGUUAAGUUAUCUGUAAAAUCCCUGGGCUCAACCUGGGCAUGCCAGAUAAAACUGAUGAACUCGAGUAUGGGAGAGGGUAGUGGAAUUUCCGGUGUAGCGGUGAAAUGCGUAGAGAUCGGAAGGAACACCAGUGGCGAAGGCGGCUACCUGGCCCAAUACUGACACUGAGGCACGAAAGCGUGGGGAGCAAACAGG